AAAAAAAAAAACAUUUAGCUCAUUGGUUAUUGGGAAUGUCCCUUAAUAUUCUGCUCUUGAAUCCACUGUUUUAACUUCCUGGGAGAAUCGAACGUCUCUCUUUUUCCAUCUCUGCUGCAUUGUAGGCUUGUUGGAAACCCCCAUGUAUAUUUUAUGUUGUUGUCUCUUAAGAUUUUCACAAUUGGGGCACUUUCUCUUUUCUGCUGUCUGGUUUGAAAGGAGAUUUCUGAGAAGACUUUAAUAGACUCAUGUGCUGUGUCAAUUUGCUGUGCUGUGUCAAUUUGUUUCAUUUUUCAUUAAAGCUGAGGUGAUGUUUUGUUUUGUAAGAAUGACAACAGACUAUAACAUCUCUGGGUAGGUAUGUUGUUGUAUUUGAAG